rnacentral:lncRNA from 1 species
GAGAAAAUAGCCUCUCUCAUUCUUCAGUGGCUUUGUUUUGCCAGAGACAAGACAGGGCUAUUUUGACAGGAUGGUCAGGAGAGGCCUCUCUGAUGAGGCCAUGCAUGAGGAGAGACCUCAGGUCAUCAGGGAGAUGGUCUGGGCAGCAGGGAAAGCAGGUACAAAGGCCCUGAGGCAGGAGUGCGUUUGGCGGUGCUGAUGAACAACAGGGAGGCUGGUGUGGCCAGAGAACAAGGCAGAAGGUGAGGGCAGCGAGCCAGCCAGGUCCGCAUGGGAGGACCUGGGAGGCAGAGCUAAGGACUUGGCUUUUAUUUAUUUAUUUUUUUUGAGACAGAGCCUUGCUCUGUCACCCAGGCUGGAGUGCAGUGGCAAGAUUUCAGGUGAGUCACUGCAACCUCUGCCUUCUGGGUUCAAGCAAUCCUCCUACCUCAGCCUCCUGAGUAGAUGGGAUUACAGGUGUGUGCCACCACGCCCAGCUAAUUUUUGUAUUUUUAGUAGAGAUGGGGGGUUUCACCAUGUUGGCCAGGCUGGUCUCGAACUCCUGACCUCAAGUGAUCCACCUGCCUUGGCCUCCCAAAGUGCUGGGAUUACAGGCAUGAGCCACCGCGCCCAGCCAGGACUUUGGCUUUUACUCUGAGCCAGAAGAGAAGCACCAGAAGGUCUGAACAGCAGAGGGAUGGACUCUGAUGUAAGCUUUUAACCAGCUCGAAUGAGGGUGGAGGUGAGGAUAACCAGGAAGUGGCCCAGGACAGCCAUGUUGGGAAGGCACAGUCGGCAGCCCUUGCCACUGGACUGGCUGUGACUGUGAGAGGAGGAGAGGAGUCAAGGAUGAGGCACGGCCUGAGAAGCAAGGUGGCCUCAUGUCAUUUCUGGCAAUGCGGUCCACCCUGGGGGACGAGGAAUCACACCUUAUCUAACUGAAUCCUUCCAAAAAACCAGGAGGCACUGACUCCCAUCAUCCCUGUUUCACAGAUAAGAAAGAAGACUGAAGUUCAGAGAGGUGAAGGGACUGGCUCAGGGGCUACCCCUAUGGUUGCGGGAGCUAAGAUUCCAGCCCAGCAGCGUGAUCCAGAGCCCAUCUGAGCUACCCAGAUCUUCCUGCUGUUAAACCCGUCCUGGGGCAGCUCUUGCCUGAUGGGCUACCUGAGGAACCCACAGGAAAUCAAGGGAGGUGCCUGCAAAGUUGCCGUGGGGUCACAGCCUGCCCUUUGGAAGGGGCUGUUUCUGGGCUGCUGUGACUUCCUGCCAUUAUUUCCUCUCUGUUCUCCCUCU